rnacentral:rRNA from 1 species
CCUACGUGAUGCUGCAGUGAGGAAUAUUGGUCAAUGGCCGUAAGGCUGAACCAGCCAAGUAGCGUGAGGGAAGACUGCCCUAUGUGUUGUAAACCUCUUUUAUAAAGGAAUAAAGUGAGGCACGUGUGCCUUUUUGUAUGUACUUUAUGAAUAAGGAUCGGCUAACUCCGUGCCAGCAGCCGCGGUAAUACGGAGGAUCCGAGCGUUAUCCGGAUUUAUUGGGUUUAAAGGGAGCGUAGAUGGGUUGUUAAGUCAGUUGUGAAAGUUUGCGGCUCAACCGUAAAAUUGCAAUUGAUACUGGCAGUCUUGAGUACAGUUGAGGUAGGCGGAAUUCGUGGUGUAGCGGUGAAAUGCUUAGAUAUCACGAAGAACUCCGAUUGCGAAGGCAGCUUACUAAACUGCCACUGACAUUGAUGCUCGAAAGUGUGGGUAUCAAACAGGAUUAGAUACCCGAGUAGUC